AAUUACAAAUUUUUAUUUCUCGCAAAAAACCUCAAUCUACAUUGGUAUGAAAUGUUGGAGAUCAAUCUCUAAAUUGGAACGAUUUACUAUGAAGGAAUAAAUCAUGAUCAUUAAGUUUUAGAAAAUAUGGAUAUAACUAGGUAUUUUUUGUAAUAUGCAAACCAACAUUUUUCAAUGGAAAUUUCUUCUCCCAUCCAUAUUUCUUUUAUAACACUUCACCAUGGUGCUCCUUCUCAUAUUAUACCAAAUUCCUAUCUUACCAGAAAUAUAGGCUAGUACAUCAAUACUCCCA
rnacentral:lncRNA from 1 species